UACGGAGGGUGCAAGCGUUAUCCGGAUUCACUGGGUUUAAAGGGUGCGUAGGCGGCUUGAUAAGUCAGUGGUGAAAGCCCGCAGCUCAACUGCGGAAUUGCCAUUGAAACUGCCAAGCUUGAAUCUGGUUGAAGUGGGCGGAAUAUAUCAUGUAGCGGUGAAAUGCUUAGAUAUGAUGUAGAACACCGAUUGCGAAGGCAGCUCACUAAGCCAACAUUGACGCUGAGGCACGAAAGCGUGGGUAGCGAACAGG
rnacentral:rRNA from 1 species